rnacentral:rRNA from 1 species
AUACGUAGGGUGCGAGCGUUGUCCGGAAUUACUGGGCGUAAAGAGCUCGUAGGUGGUUUGUCGCGUCGUCUGUGAAAUUCCGGGGCUUAACUCCGGGCGUGCAGGCGAUACGGGCAUAACUUGAGUACUGUAGGGGAGACUGGAAUUCCUGGUGUAGCGGUGAAAUGCGCAGAUAUCAGGAGGAACACCGGUGGCGAAGGCGGGUCGCUGGGCAGUAACUGACGCUGAGGAGCGAAAGCAUGGGUAGCGAACAGGAUUAGAUACCCUGGUAGUCCAUGCCGUAAACGGUGGGCGCUAGGUGUAGGGGUCUUCCACGACUUCUGUGCCGUAGCUAACGCAUUAAGCGCCCCGCCUGGGGAGUACGGCCGCAAGGCUAAAACUCAAAGGAAUUGACGGGG